CGGACCCCGUGCGAAUGCGCAUAUCGAACGCGCCCUCUCAAGUCUGCUAACGGCUCUUUCCUCAGUUUUCUCGCUGAUGGAGUGGAAGACGGCGGCGUCUGAAGGCUCACUGUCAUUCACCAGUGGCUCCAGUCUGGUUUGGGGGUCUACCCUUUCUCAUCCUGGCCUGCCAGCCAAGUAAAAAGAGAAAUAACUACAGACCUCUGCUGCUGAUACCGGUUCAGGAUGAAUUGCAGAUGCUGUGAGUCAGUGGUUCAACCAGCCAACAAACAGGAAAAGCUCAAGGCGGAGUCUUAACUGUCAGCAACUACCCAAAAAAACCAGGCUACUUAUUUCCCACUAAGAAAAACAGUGGUCUGGUAUGAAGGUUAUCUGUGUUUUGGAACAUGUUCUUAAUAUUCAUUAAAUAAUCAAGACACUU